AGUUGCCCAGGCUGGCCUCAAACCUGCAAUCCUCCUUCCUUAGCCUUCCAAGUCCCUGGGAUUACAGGUGGUCACUUCUCAUUUCCUUAUGAUAUGUUCCUUCUCGCUUCUCAUUCUUGACACUGUGAUCAACUUUUGCUGUUAGCAAGUAUGAUUAUCUGAAAUCAGCCUCCUGAGUCACUGGGAGUGCAGGUGUGCACCACCAUGUCGGACUGAAAGAAUAUUUUUCAAAUGCAAUG
rnacentral:lncRNA from 1 species